GGAAACCCUGUUCAGCUGGUGAGACUGCUAAACCCAUGGGGACAUGGCGAGUGGAAAGGAGAUUGGAGUGACAACUCACCCUUGUGGAAAACGGUGAGUGCAGAAGAAUGCAAAACGUGCAAACAUGUGGCCAUUGAUGGGGAAUUCUGGAUGUCAAUGGAAGAUUACACCACAAACUUUAAUGACAUGGCUAUCUGUUGUCCAUCUCCUGAUU